rnacentral:rRNA from 1 species
GUGCCAGCAGCCGCGGUAAUACGUAGGUGGCAAGCGUUGUCCGGAUUUACUGGGCGUAAAGAGCGCGCAGGCGGUCAGAUAAGUCGAAUGUGAAAGCCCCCGGCUCAACUGGGGAGGGUCAUUCGAUACUGUUCGACUCGAAGGAAGGAGAGGCAACUGGAAUUCUCGGUGUAGCGGUGAAAUGCGUAGAUAUCGAGAGGAACACCUGCGGCGAAGGCGGGUUGCUGGGCUGACACUGACGCUGAAGCGCGAAAGCUAGGGGAGCGAACGGGAUUAGAUACCCCGGUAGUCCUAGCCUUAAACGAUGAAUGCUUGGUGUCUGGGGUUAUAUAGUCCCCGGGUGCCGUCGCUAACGCUUUAAGCAUUCCGCCUGGGGAGUACGGUCGCAAGACUGAAACUUAAAGGAAUUGACGG